UCCAGAUCAGUCUCUGCCACCCGAAUGUUCUGAAGCUCUUCGGCUGGUUCCAUGACGAUGAGAGGAUUUUCCUGAUCUUGGAGUAUGCUCACGGCGGCGAGCUCUACAAGGAACUCCACAAAUCCGGAACCUUUUCUGAAGAACAAGCUGCCAAUAUAACUGUUGCUUUUGAUGAGACAACCAUUGUGGAUAUUUUUGCAUGUGGAAAGCCAGUGCCAUUCAGUGCUCAAUCUAUUGCACCAGAGGUUCAAAA